rnacentral:rRNA from 1 species
UACAUAUUAAGUUUAUUCUGCUCAAUGAAUUGUAUUUAUUUUAAUAGCCGCAGUAACUGACUGUGCUAAGGUAGCAUAAUAAAUUGGCCUUUAAUUGGGGUCUGGAAUGAAUGGUGUACAUAUAUUAUAACUGUCUUAAAUAUUAUUUUUUAAUUUACUUAGUAGGUGAAAAUUCCUACUUGUUAAGAAGAAAGACGAGAAGACCCUUAGAAUUAUUAUAAUUUGUAAGAUAUAUUUACUAUUAGUUUUUGUUGGGGCGACAUAUAAUCAUGAAAACAUUAUCUACCAACUUACUUUACGUAGCUAAUAUAUUCAAUAAGAUUUAAUUACCUGAGGGAUAACAGCAUAAUACUCUUGUGUUUAUGACCUCGAUGUUGGACUAGGAAAAUAUUUGGUUAGCAAUCAAAUAUAUUAGUUCUGUUCGAACUAAUUUA